rnacentral:rRNA from 1 species
GUCCAUAUGAGAGAAUUAUACGGUCCGGCCUGCUCACUGAAUUUUUUUAAGAGCCGCGGUAUUAUGACCGUGCAAAGGUAGCAUAAUCAUUAGUUUUUUAAUUGAAAACUUGUAUGAAUGGUUAGACAAAAGAAAAGCUGUCUCUUGGUUUUAGCUUGAAUUUCACCUUUAAGUGAAAAGGCUUAAAUUUUUUAGGGGGACGAUAAGACCCUAUGAAGCUUUAUAAUAAGUGUAGAUAUUAUUGGUAUAUAAUAUAAAAUUAAAAUAGGCAAAUAUUAUUUUAUUGGGGCGAUAUUAAUAUAAAUAAUUUAACUGUUAAAGCAACAAACACUUAUAAGUGGUAAAAUGAUCCUUUGUUAAAGAUUAAAAGAUUAAGUUACUCUAGGGAUAACAGGGUAAUUUCUUUUGAGAGUCCUUAUUGAAAAAGAAGUUUGCCACCUCGAUGUUGAAUUAAAAUAUCCGGAUGGUGCAGCCGCCAUAAGGGGAAGGUCUGUUCGACCUUUAAAAUUUUACA